UACGGGGGGAGCAAGCGUUGUUCGGAUUUACUGGGCGUAAAGGGCGCGUAGGCGGUCGGGACAAUUGAUUUGUGAAAUCUCCGGGCUUAACUCGGAACGGUCAAGUGAUACUGCUCGGCUAGAGUGCGGAAGGGGCAACUGGAAUUCUUGGUGUAGCGGUGAAAUGCGUAGAUAUCAAGAGGAACACCUGCGGCGAAGGCGGGUUGCUGGGCCGACACUGACGCUGAGGCGCGAAAGCUAGGGGAGCGAACGGG
rnacentral:rRNA from 1 species